CAAGGCAUGGGAGACAAGGUAACCAGAGGGCAGGCUGGGCUCACGGAUAGCAGCCCAACAAGGUAACCAGAGGGCAGGCUGGGCUCACGGAUAGUAGCCCAACAAGGUAACCAGAGGACAGGCUGGGCUCACGGAUAGCAGCCCAACAAGGCAUGGGAGACAAGGUAACCAGAGGGCAGGCUGGGCUCACUGAUAGUAGCCCAACAAGGUAACCAGAGGGCAGGCUGGGCUCACGGAUAGCAGCCCAACAAGGUAACCAGAGGGCAGGCUGGGCUCACGGAUAGCAGCCCAACAAGGUAACCAGAGGGCAGGCUGGGCUCACGGAUAGCAGCCCAACAAGGCAUGGGAGACAAGGUAACCAGAGGGCAGGCUGGGCUCAGGGAUAGCAGCCCAACAAGGUAACCAGAGGGCAGGCUGGGCUCACGGAUAGUAGCCCAACAAGGCAUGGGAGACAAGGUAACCAGAGGGCAGGCUGGGCUCACGGAUAGCAGCCCAACAAGGCAUGGGAGACAAGGUAACCAGAGGGCAGGCUGGGCUCACGGAUAGCAGCCCAACAAGGCAUGGGAGACAAGGUAACCAGAGGGCAGGCUGGGCUCACGGAUAGCAGCCCAACAAGGUAACCAGAGGACAGGCUGGGCUCACGGAUAGCAGCCCAACAAGGCAUGGGAGACAAGGUAACCAGAGGGGAGGCUGGGCUCACGGAUAGCAGCCCAACAAGGUAACCAGAGGACAGGCUGGGCUCACGGAUAGUAGCCCAACAAGGCAUGGGAGACAAGGUAACCAGAGGACAGGCUGGGCUCACGGAUAGCAGCCCAACAAGGCAUGGGAGACAAGGUAACCAGAGGGCAGGCUGGGCUCACGGAUAGCAGCCCAACAAGGUAACCAGAGGGCAGGCUGGGCUCACGGAUAGCAGCCCAACAAGGCAUGGGAGACAAGGUAACCAGAGGGCAGGCUGGGCUCACGGAUAGCAGCCCAACAAGGUAACCAGAGGGCAGGCUGGGCUCAGGGAUAGCAGCCCAACAAGGCAUGGGAGACAAGGUAACCAGAGGGCAGGCUGGGUUCAGGGAUAGCAGCCCAACAAGGUAACCAGAGGGCAGGCUGGGCUCACGGAUAGCAGCCCAACAAGGUAACCAGAGGGCAGGCUGGGCUCACGGAUAGCAGCCCAACAAGGCAUGGGAGACAAGGUAACCAGAGGGCAGGCUGGGCUCACGGAUAGCAGCCCAACAAGGUAACCAGAGGGCAUGCUGGGCUCACGGAUAGUAGCCCAAGGCAUCUGGAGAGUAGUGGUGUGAUGGGUCAGAUCUGGAGAGUAGUGGUGUGAUGGGUCAGAUCUGGAGAGUAGUGGUGUGAUGGGUCAGAUCUGGAACAUAGUGGUGUGAUGGGUCAGAUCUGGAACAUAGUGGUGUGAUGGGUCAGAUC